AGGAUAAUAGUUUAAACAAAACAAUUAAUUUGCAUUUAAAAAAUACUAAAAAAGUUUAUCU
rnacentral:tRNA from 1 species